rnacentral:rRNA from 1 species
GACGAACGCUGGCGGCGUGCUUAACACAUGCAAGUCGAACGGAAAGGCCUCUUUCGGGGGGUACUCGAGUGGCGAACGGGUGAGUAACACGUGAGUAACCUGCCCUUUACUUUGGGAUAACUUCAGGAAACUGGGGCUAAUACCGGAUAGGAGCUCCUGCUGCAUGGUGGUGGUUGGAAAGUUUCGGCGGUUGGGGAUGGACUCGCGGCUUAUCAGCUUGUUGGUGGGGUAGUGGCUUACCAAGGCUUUGACGGGUAGCCGGCCUGAGAGGGUGACCGGCCACAUUGGGACUGAGAUACGGCCCAGACUCCUACGGGAGGCAGCAGUGGGGAAUAUUGCACAAUGGGUGGAAGCCUGAUGCAGCAACGCCGUGUGCGGGAUGACGGCCUUCGGGUUGUAAACCGCUUUCGCUCAUGACGAAGCUUUGUGUGACGGUAGUGGGUAAAGAAGCACCGGCUAACUACGUG